rnacentral:rRNA from 1 species
UACGUAGGGUGCGAGCGUUAAUCGGAAUUACUGGGCGUAAAGCGUGCGCAGGCGGUUUUGUAAGCCAGGUGUGAAAUCCCCGGGCUCAACCUGGGAAUGGCAUUUGGGACUGCAAGGCUGGAGUGCGGCAGAGGAGACUGGAAUUCCUGGUGUAGCAGUGAAAUGCGCAGAUAUCGGGAGGAACACCAAUGGCGAAGGCAGCUCGCUGGGACGUUACUGACGCUGAGACGCGAAAGCGUGGGGAGCAAACAGG